AUUGAACGCUGGCGGCAUGCUUUACACAUGCAAGUCGAACGGCAGCGCGGGGGCAACCCUGGCGGCGAGUGGCGAACGGGUGAGUAAUGCAUCGGAACGUAUCCUGUAAUGGGGGAUAACGUAGCGAAAGUUACGCUAAUACCGCAUACGCUCGGGAGAGGAAAGUGGGGGAUCGCAAGACCUCACGUUACAGGAGCGGCCGAUGUCCGAUUAGCUAGUUGGUGGGGUAAAGGCCUACCAAGGCGACGAUCGGUAGCUGGUCUGAGAGGAUGAUCAGCCACACUGGGACUGAGACACGGCCCAGACUCCUACGGGAGGCAGCAGUGGGGAAUUUUGGACAAUGGGCGAAAGCCUGAUCCAGCCAUGCCGCGUGCGGGAAGAAGGCCUUCGGGUUGUAAACUGCUUUUGUACGGAACGAAAAAGCUCUCUCUAAUACAGGGGGUGAAUGACGGUACCGUAAGAAUAAGCACCGGCUAACUACGUG
rnacentral:rRNA from 1 species